rnacentral:lncRNA from 8 species
GAGUUAUGUUGACCUCUCUCUCGUUCACAGUGAUAGGAGCGUCUGUACUGCAGCGAGAUGGGGGGGUCUGGACUGAGAGACUGAGAGUUUAGCUGGUGUGGGUGGAUUGCGUGGAUGGGGGUCAGGCGAUGGGGGGGGGGUUAGUUCUCUGGCUCUCUGGUUGUUUGAACGUUGUGAGUGAGGGCUCAGAAAUGACGGAGUAGGCAUGAAUGGACCUGGCUGUUUAUUAUGUGGGUCAGUGGGCUCCACUUUAACCUUUCAGCUUCACCUCUUUCUCUUUCCUACAGGAAGUGACCAAUAGACCCGAGCCGUGCGUCUGGCCGUGCCUGAAUGAAAGACAAGUAAUGUGUGCAGCCGGGACCCGGAAAAGAAGUCAAACACAGGUGUAAGGUGACAUCUGUCCACAGCAGGCCUAAGGGACCUCACCUGACUGACUGGGGCCAGAAUGUCAGGAAUGCGAGUUCAAAACUUGGUCAAUCGGCCAGAGUGGUCGGCCAGUCUACCAGCCAUCCAUCUGAGGCAUCCCAGGAACCUCCACCUAUCUCUGUCUGUCGGUGGGUCAUAUCAGAGCCCUGGCUGUAACCAGACCCCCCCUCCGUGUGAAUGGCUACUUCUGAAGAACAGAGAGGAAGAGGAAGUGAGACAAGGAGGCCACAGCCCUGGACUAGUCCCAUCAGUCAUAAUCAUGUCAGUUUGAAGACGUGCAGUCUGUUGCCCUGGGUGAUAAGGGCAUGUGACGAGAGCCAUUGUGUCAGGAACAAGAUGGUAAAGCGUAAGAAAGAGUGUCAGUGAUGGAGGAUGGAGGAAUGAGGAAAUGCAGUACUGUACACCAUGACAUAGACACGUAAAUCAUCAUCUUAACGGGAAUUGUGCUACAGAACAUCUAUGAACUAAAACAUGAACCAAGCUGCCACUUUUACUGAUGUUUUUGAUCUCCACUACUACAUAAUGAGACUAUUACCAAUCUGAAGGGCUGCAGGCCUGUCCUUUGUUGUCAUAUUUUAGGCCUAUAGUAUAGUGACUUUCCUUCACCAGUUUUGAGACAAUUUACAUUUUAUAUGAAAAAUGGUUCUUCAGAGAGGAAAAUGGUAGUGAGCGGAAAGAGAGGGAAAAGAAGAAAAAAAUUAAAUAAACUUUAAUCACAGAAACACUGACCCAGAAAGAAGGAGAGGAAGACACAAAUGGAAACCAGAGGAAUUCGAUCCAGCUGGGGGAUGCAUCCAACCCGUCCAGCCAUCCAGCCCAUUCUGCUGCAUUUGUACCUAGACGGGAGGCAGGGGUGAGCUGGAGGAUGAUGGUGGGGGGAAGGGAAAGGUCCGGAAACAAAAACCAAAUUGAAGGAAGAGCUAAAACCAGUACCGCUAAAACCCUGUGGCCGGGACUGAGUCCCAGAGCUGCAGAGCUGCAGGUCUGCUGGCCACACAUCUCUGGGCCCUGGCCAAGACUCCUUUCCCUUUCUCAUCCCUCCCUCUAGUCUUCACACCCUGGGGAAAGGAGGGGAGAAGAGAAGAGCAAAGGAGAGGAUAGAAGAGAAGAGGAGAGGAGGGAAGAGAAAAGGAGAGGAGAGGAGAGGAGAGGAGAGGAGAGGAGAGGAGAGGAGAGGAGAGGAGAGGAGAGGAGAGGAGAGGAGCAGGCAGACAGCAGGGCUGUUUAAUUAUCUGACUGGCCCAGCCAGGCCAGCAGGAUCGGCCACAGCAGCGUCUGUCUGACAGGCUUCCUCCCUCCUGGCCCGAGCCGGUCUCCACGCCCCAGUUGCAUACUAAAGCUAACCCACAUCCCCUUCUGUACUGGGAGCCAGGCCCACUGAUACACACACUGGAGGCUACAUGCUAACAGAGCACACUAUUCACAUUUCAUGCUCUCUUACUGUAAGCACACGCUACGUUAACAAGAGGAAUAUGGAUGGAAUUGGAAAAAGAAACCCUUUCUCUUUCUCAUCAGCUUGCACAGACCUAGAAUUCAUUGACACUGCAAUUCAAAUCAAAGCGUUCUCCGCUGCUAUGUUAUUCCAUCGUCAG